AUUGGACGCUGGCGGAAUGCUUUACACAUGCAAGUCGAACGGCAGCACGGACUUCGGUCUGGUGGCGAGUGGCGAACGGGUGAGUAAUGUAUUGGAACGUGCCCAGUCGUGGGGGAUAACGUAGUGAAAAUUACGCUAAUACCGCAUACGAUCUAUGGAUGAAAGCGGGGGAUCGCAAGACCUCGCGCGAUUGGAGCGGCCGAUAUCAGAUUAGGUAGUUGGUGGGGUAAAGGCCCACCAAGCCAACGAUCUGUAGCUGGUCUGAGAGGACGACCAGCCACACUGGAACUGAGACACGGUCCAGACUCCUACGGGAGGCAGCAGUGGGGAAUUUUGGACAAUGGGCGAAAGCCUGAUCCAGCCAUUCCGCGUGCAGGAUGAAGGCCCUCGGGUCGUAAACUGCUUUUGUACAGAACGAAAAGGUUUCUACUAAUACUAGGAGCUCAUGACGGUACUGUAAGAAUAAGCACCGGCUAACUGCGUGCCAGCCGCCGCUGUAA
rnacentral:rRNA from 1 species